rnacentral:tRNA from 1 species
UAGCCUAGCGGUUAAGGCUAUGGAUCGCCAAUCCGGAGGCGGCGGGUUCGAUUCCCGU